GGGUAUGGUAUAUCACGGAUGAGAAGCCAUAGAUUGUCAAUCCCAGUGUAACGCUAAGAUUAGUACUGUCUCUGUGUAUAAAGUAGCUCUUGGCCUGCAAUGAUAAUGAUUUUUGAAGCCUUGCUCACUGUGUAGAAAGAUUUGUAAUGUGUAAAACAAUGAAAUAUACAUACUGUUGUAUAUGACGAGCUUUCCUUUCCCUCUUUUCUUCUUCUCCCUCGUCCUCCUCGUCCUUCUCUCCUUAGUCCUUUUGAUUUCAUUUCUCCUCAUCCCGUUAAGUAGUCCUCCCUCCUAUUCCUCCUCCUUUCCUCCUUUUUUGUAGCUUUCCUAAUUUCUCCAUUUCCUGUUACAAAUUUCCGUACUUUUAUUUCGUACCUAUCCGCUUCUCUUUCUCUCUAUUUACUUUCCCAAUAUUUUUUUUUUUCGUCGUUUUCCUAAUUAUUCCUCCCAUAUGUAAUUCUAACCCUCCCUUUGUAUCUUCCUCUCCCAGUAACCUUUGUCUCUAUUUUUUUUCUCUGAUAUCCUUCUCCCUUUCCCUUCCUAUCCCAUUCUUCUUCCUUUUCCCCUUACACCUAAUUCUUUCUCUUCCCUUUCCCUUCCCUUAACUUUUUCCCUUCAUAUCCAUCUUUCCUCAUACCCUCUCUCACUCCUUUCCCUUUCUUUCCAUAUUAACUUUUAUAACUAUUAUCCCCCUCUCUCCCGAGUCUUUCUUCUUCUUCGUCCUUUCCCUCCUUAUCACAUUCAUAUUAUUUCCCUGCUCACACCUUAUCCUACCCCUCUGCCUCCUCUUAUUUUCCAUGGAACAGCUAUCUCCCUCUUUCCCUUUUCCCUUCUCAUUCUUCCUUUAUCCACUUAUCAUCCUUUCCCCUCUUUCUUUCCCUUAUCUUUCCUCGUCUUCCUUUCCUCUUCCAUUCUCCUUCCCUUAACCCUCAUUCUUCUCUACUUUUUGUUCCCCACUUUCCUUUUCAUUCCCCUAUUCCACAAUUAGUCCUUUUCUUUCUUUUAUUUCCAUCCUGGGUUUUUUCUGUUUUCCCUUUUUUCUUCUUCUUCCCCAUUUCCCCUACAGUGACCUUUGACCUGACCCGACCUGACCUCCUGCCACCUCCCCUCAGUACGAGCGGGCGGCGGCGUUACUCGACAGGUCACGUGACACCGCCCUCAAGAGACUGAGCAACAUCCUCCAACCAAACCUACGCCAGGGACCGUUUGGUAGCGUACAGGUGUGAUGAUUGAUCCUCCGUCACCUGACUUAUCCCUCCUGCCCCUCACCCUCUCACCCUGCCCAUCAUCCCUUCUGCUCCUCCUUCACUUCCUCCACCCGUUUGCUCCUCCUUCAUCGUUUAAUCCCCUCCUCUCCUUUAAUCCCCUCCACUCCUUCAUCCUCCCAACCCCUAACUUUUACCUCCCUUCCACCACCUGUCUUCUUGCCCUUCCCUGCCCUUCUUACCCUCCUCCCCUCCUCCCUUCCUCCCUCAUUUUGAUGGCUUAACGUUACUUCUUCAUUUUCUUUUCAUGUCCUUUUAUUUUUCUCAGUUUAAUUUAGAGGCUGGAACCUUUUUAACUAUCACUCCUUUUAUUAUUUUAUUUAAUCAGCUUUCAACAGUGGGUUUUUUUUCGUUUUCUAUGGGAAGAAACGCCGAGACAAAGAUUUAUUGGGCUGGCGAAAUCUUUGUUAGGCUGAAUUUCUUUUUAUUUUCUUGUUCUGUGUUUGUUUCUUUGCUUUCCACGACACACACACAUAUAUAGGCAGCGAGAAUGAAUAAAAAGAAAAACACGUGAGGCUGGGCUUGCUGGAUUGAGGGGCUGGCUUGAAUUCACUUCCUAGACACUCAUCACAAGUAUCAUCACCCUAAUCUAUGUCUUCCUCGUUUUUCACAUAUUUGGAAGAUUAUAUUUCAAUCUCUCUGGCUGGCUCUUCCUACUUCUAUUUUUUCUUCAUUUCUUUCACAUAUUCUUUCGUCUCUAUCACGAAUACCCACCACUGACACACACACAGAAGAACAUAAGAACAUAAGAUGUUAUUAAGAAGCUAUUUAUGUAUACUAAUCUUCAGUCUCACAUUCUAUCUACUACCAAACUUCUAAAUAUUCUUUUCUUCCUACAUCGUCAUUUUAUAUCUUUGCCAUUACAAUCUCAAGUAUUUUCCUCUUUUUCUUUCUUUGUUUGUUAUCUCCUGUAACGUUAUGUGAAUUUCCCAUAGCCUCUUUUGUUAUCAACAGUAAUAUAAUUUCACUGUUCAUGUUUCCUAUAUCAUUACCGUACAUGCUUACUAUCGAAUUAUCUUUAGGUUUUUACAAAUAACAUAUGCUACGUAAUACGUCUGCAAUACACUACUCGUCUCAAACACCAUCUUCAUUAUUAUAUUUACGUCUCUCUCUCUCUCUCUCUCUCUCUCUCUCUCUCUCUCUCUCUCUCUCUCUCUCUCUCUCUCUCUCUCUCUCUCUCUCUCUCUCUCUCUCUCUCUCUCUCUCUCUCUCAAACUAUGCCAAAACCACUCCCCACCCUCCUCUCCCAUCCAUUUUCUUCACCAUAUCGCAACUUCCCCUUCCUCUCCUCCCACAAUGUUCUCUUAAAUUCAACCCCUGACGCACCCACGUGGUUUCCCUCCCUUCAAAGUCCCACCCCUACACCUAAUUACUCUUCCACCCGUCUCACCUGCCCACCUACUUUUCUCCACCCUCGUCCACCUACAUUCCCCGUAUACGAGAUAAGAUAAGGAAGAAGAGGAGGUUUGUAACGCCACCACCUGCCCCAAGGCCACACCACAACGAGGCCGCGGUCUACAAAGCACCCCAUCGCUGUCUCAAGCUUUUGAAUCGUCCAAGAAAACAAGAAAUCAUUACUCCCCAACGCCCUGUAUCUAAGGCACAUAGCAAGGAUGGCUGCUUCAGAUGAUAGAUCUAUCUAUAUCCUAUAUAUACACUUGCGGCGUAUGGUAUAAUCCAUGUAUACACUUUAUAUUAUUCUGUAUGACUGUAGCAUUUGGAAAUACACAAGAGAAGAAUUUUA